GAUGAACGCUGGCGGCGUGCCUAAUACAUGCAAGUCGAGCGAACAGACGAGGAGCUUGCUCCUCUGACGUUAGCGGCGGACGGGUGAGUAACACGUGGAUAACCUACCUAUAAGACUGGGAUAACUUCGUGAAACCUGAGCUAAUACCGUAUAAUAUAUUGAACCGCAUGGUUCAAUAGUGAAAGACGGUUUUGCUGUCACUUAUAGAUGGAUCCGCGCCGCAUUAGCUAGUUGGUAAGGUAACGGCUUACCAAGGCAACGCUGAGUAGCCGAACUGAGAGGGGGAUCGGCCACCCUGGAACUGAGACACGGUCCAGACUCCUACGGGAGGCAGCAGUAGGGAAUCUUCCGCAAUGGGCGAAAGCCUGACGGAGCAACGCCGCGUGAGGGCUGAAGGUCUUCGGAUCGUAAAACUCUGUUAUUAGGGAAGAACAAAUGUGUAAGUAACUAUGAACGUCUUGACGGUACCUAAUCAGAAAGCCACGGCUAACUACGUG
rnacentral:rRNA from 1 species